rnacentral:rRNA from 1 species
UGCAAACUGCGAAUACCGGAGAAUGUUAUCACGGGAGACACACGGCGGGUGCUAACGUCCGUCGUGAAGAGGGAAACAACCCAGACCGCCAGCUAAGGUCCCAAAGUCAUGGUUAAGUGGGAAACGAUGUGGGAAGGCCCAGACAGCCAGGAUGUUGGCUUAGAAGCAGCCAUCAUUUAAAGAAAGCGUAAUAGCUCACUGGUCGAGUCGGCCUGCGCGGAAGAUGUAACGGGGCUAAACCAUGCACCGAAGCUGCGGCAGCGACGCUUAUGCGUUGUUGGGUAGGGGAGCGUUCUGUAAGCCUGCGAAGGUGUGCUGUGAGGCAUGCUGGAGGUAUUCGCAGUUUGCAUCGGGUUGGUAAGUCGGGAUGACCCCCUUGCCGAAACAGUGCUCUACCCCCGGAGAUGAAUUCACGAGGCGCUACCUAAAUAGCUUUCGGGGAGAACCAGCUAUCUCCCGGUUUGAUUGGCCUUUCACCCCCAGCCACAAGUCAUCCGCUAAUUUUUCAACAUUAGUCGGUUCGGUCCUCCAGUUAGUGUUACCCAACCUUCAACCUGCCCAUGGCUAGAUCACCGGGUUUCGGGUCUAUACCCUGCAACUUAACGCCCAGUUAAGACUCGGUUUCCCUUCGGCUCCCCUAUUCGGUUAACCUUGCUACAGAAUAUAAGUCGCUGACCCAUUAUACAAAAGGUACGCAGUCACACGCCUAAGCGUGCUCCCACUGCUUGUACGUACACGGUUUCAGGUUCUUUUUCACUCCCCUCGCCGGGGUUCUUUUCGCCUUUCCCUCACGGUACUGGUUCACUAUCGGUCAGUCAGGAGUAUUUAGCCUUGGAGGAUGGUCCCCCCAUAUUCAGACAGGAUACCACGUGUCCCGCCCUACUCAUCGAGCUCACAGCAUGUGCAUUUUUGUGUACGGGGCUGUCACCCUGUAUCGCGCGCCUUUCCAGACGCUUCCACUAACACACACACUGAUUCAGGCUCUGGGCUGCUCCCCGUUCGCUCGCCGCUACUGGGGGAAUCUCGGUUGAUUU